GAUGAAGAACGCAGCGAAAUGCGAUAAGUAAUGUGAAUUGCAGAAUUCUGUGAAUCAUCGAAUCUUUGAACGCACAUUGCGCCCUCUGGUAUUCCGGGGGGCAUGCCUGUCCGAGCGUCAUUUGCAACCCUCAAGCCCGGCUUGUGUGAUGGGUGCCGUCCCCUACGGGACGCGCCCCGAAGGCAAUGGCGGCGUCGCGGUUAUCCGAUCAGCCAAAGUGUAUGGGGCUUUGUCACUCACUUUACGGCCCGGACCGGCGCCAGUCCGAAUCAAUCUUUUUUCUAAAGUUGACCUCGGAUCAGGUAGGGAUACCCGCUGAACUUAAGCAUAUCAAUAAGCGGAGGA
rnacentral:misc_RNA from 1 species